AAAACUUUCAACAACGGAUCUCUUGGUUCCCGCAUCGAUGAAGAACGCAGCGAAAUGCGAAAAGUAAUGUGAAUGCAGAAUUCCGUGAAUCAUCGAAUCUUUGAACGCACAUUGCGCCCUUUGGUAUUCCGAAGGGCAUGCCUGUUCGAGCGUCAUUG
rnacentral:rRNA from 2 species